GAUGAAGAACGUAGCAAAAUGCGAUAAGUAAUGUGAAUUGCAGAAUUCAGUGAAUCAUCGAAUCUUUGAACGCACAUUGCGCCCGCCAGUAUUCUGGCGGGCAUGCCUGUUCGAGCGUCAUUUCAACCCUCAAGCACAGCUUGGUGUUGGGACUCGCGUUAAUUCGCGUUCCUCAAAUUGAUUGGCGGUCACGUCGAGCUUCCAUAGCGUAGUAGUAAAACCCGCGUUACUGGUAAUCGUCGCGGCCACGCCGUUAAACCCCAACUUCUGAAUGUUGACCUCGGAUCAGGUAGGAAUACCCGCUGAACUUAAGCAUAUCAAUAAGCGGAGGA
rnacentral:misc_RNA from 1 species